GCAGAACAUAUUGAUGCUCUGAAAGAUAACCCCAGAAGAGUAUGAGGAGACAUACACAGUCUACACAGGCCUGUAAGCAACAAGAACAACAGAAAACGGGAUACGUGUGCGGAACAUGCAGGGCCUUGUCCCAAGAACCUACGUAGCUAUGAUGGACAAGAUUAAGUAACAAACCACACAAGGGCUGAAAGCUGCUGGAGAAGUGCUCUGGUCACCUGUCCUUAGGCAGUAAUUCUGGAAGAAACUGAAGCCUACCCAGAGGGUAGAUAUUGAGUCAGGAUCUAAACACAGUUGGACUUUACAGCUCUCAGGAUCGUAACACCUAAC
rnacentral:lncRNA from 1 species